UACAGAGGGGGCAAGCGUUGUUCGGAAUUACUGGGCGUAAAGGGCGCGUAGGCGGCCCGCUAAGUCGAACGUGAAAUCCCCAGGCUCAACCUGGGAAUGGCAAUGGAUACUGGCUGGCUAGAGUGUGUCAGAGGAUGGUGGAAUUCCCGGUGUAGCGGUGAAAUGCGUAGAGAUCGGGAGGAACAUCAGUGGCGAAGGCGGCCAUCUGGGACAACACUGACGCUGAAGCACGAAAGCGUGGGGAGCAAACAGG
rnacentral:rRNA from 1 species